AGGACGAACGCUGGCGGCGUGCUUAACACAUGCAAGUCGAGCGGAAAGGCCCUUCGGGGUACUCGAGCGGCGAACGGGUGAGUAACACGUGAGUAAUCUGCCCCUAGCUCUGGGAUAGCUCCGGGAAACCGGGAUUAAUACUGGAUACGACCACCUUAGACAUCUUUUGUGGUGGAAAGAAUUUCGGCUAGGGAUGAGCUCGCGGCCUAUCAGCUUGUUGGUGAGGUAAUGGCUCACCAAGGCGACGACGGGUA
rnacentral:rRNA from 1 species